CCCUGACUCAGCAAACCACCGAGAGGUGAAGACCUCCUAUUUUCCUAGAGAGAACAGGAGGGCGUGGGAGACACGGGGGCGGGGUGGGCGGGACAAAGGCCCGACCCGGAAGCGAAACGGAGAGAACUUCCGUUCUUUGUUCUGUUCCCGGUGUGUGGGUCUGUGACAGGGUCCCACAGGGCCUGGUCCGUGUCCGGCCCCGCAAACUCCCGUCCCUGCCCCCAGGCACUUCCUCAUUCUCGUUCAAAACCUGCUUCCUGCCAAGUCUGCAAGUAGGAGAC
rnacentral:lncRNA from 1 species